rnacentral:rRNA from 1 species
GCCGGCAGCUAGCUCAAUUCUCACAUGGUCGCCCACUGAAGCUAAGCAGGGCUGCGCCCGGUCAGUACCUGGAUGGGAGACCACAUGGGAAAGCUAGGUUGCUGCCGGAA